rnacentral:rRNA from 1 species
AUUGAACGCUGGCGGCAAGCCUAACACAUGCAAGUCGAACGAGUGGCGGACGGGUGAGUAAUGUCUGGGAUACUGCCUGAUGGAGGGGGAUAACUACUGGAAACGGUAGCUAAUACCGCAUACCAUCGGAUGUGCCCAGAUUGGAUUAGCUAGUAGGUGGGGUAAAGGCUCACCUAGGCGACGAUCCCUAGCUGGUCUGAGAGGAUGACCCGCCACACGUGAACUGGGACACGGUGCAAACUCGUAACGGAGGCAGCAGUGGGGAUUAUUGGAGAAUGAGCGGUAGCCUAGUGCGGCCAUGGCGCGUGUCUGAAGAGGGGCUUCGGGUUGUAAAGUACUAUCAGCUGCGAGGCGUUACCCACAGAAGAAGCACCGGCUAACUCCGUGCCAGCAGCCGCGGUAAUUC